AAAACGGCCCUUUUCAGGGCCACCAAAUAAUUUGAUAGUCUUAUUUU
rfam:Macrostomum lignano uti_cns_0004779, whole genome shotgun sequence.